rnacentral:rRNA from 1 species
GCAUAAGCGCACGGUUCCGCAUGGAACAGUGUGAAAAACUCCGGUGGUAUACGAUGGAUCCGCGUCUGAUUAGCCAGUUGGCGGGGUAACGGCCCACCAAAGCGACGAUCAGUAGCCGGCCUGAGAGGGUGAACGGCCACAUUGGGACUGAGACACGGCCCAAACUCCUACGGGAGGCAGCAGUGGGGAAUAUUGCACAAUGGGGGAAACCCUGAUGCAGCGACGCCGCGUGAGUGAAGAAGUAUUUCGGUACGUAAAGCUCUAUCAGCAGGGAAGAAAAAAAGUCCUUUGGACUUUGGACGGUACCUGACCAAGAAGCCCCGGCUAACUACGUGCCAGCAGCCGCGGUAAUACGUAGGGGGCAAGCGUUAUCCGGAUUUACUGGGUGUAAAGGGAGCGUAGACGGCAGCGCAAGUCUGAAGUGAAAGCCCGUGGCUCAACCGCGGAACUGCUUUGGAAACUGUAUAGCUUGAGUACUGGAGAGGCAGGCGGAAUUCCUAGUGUAGCGGUGAAAUGCGUAGAUAUUAGGAGGAACACCAGUGGCGAAGGCGGCCUGCUGGACAGAAACUGACGUUGAGGCUCGAAAGCGUGGGGAGCAAACAGGAUUAGAUACCCUGGUAG